CAAGUCGUGGGGCAGCGCAGUGUAGCAAUACAUGGGCGGCGACCGGCAAACGGGUGCGGAACACGUACGCAACCUUCCUUUAAGUGGGGGAUAGCCCAGGGAAACUUGGAUUAAUACCCCGUAAUAUUACGGAAUGGCAUCAUUUUGUAAUUAUAGCAGCAAUGCGCUUGAAGAUGGGCGUGCGCCUGAUUAGGUAGUUGGCGGGGUAACGGCCCACCAAGCCUUCGAUCAGUAACUGGUGUGAGAGCACGACCAGUCACACGGGCACUGAGACACGGGCCCGACUCCUAUGGGAGGCAGCAGUAAGGAAUAUCGGUCAAUGGACGAAAGUCUGAACCAGCCAUGCCGCGUGGAGGAUGAAGGUCCUCUGGAUUGUAAACUUCUUUUAUUUGGGAAGAAACCCACGAUUUCUAUUGUGGUUGACGGUACCAGAUGAAUAAGCACCGGCUAACUCCGUGCCAGCAGCCGCGGUAAUACGGAGGGUGCAAGCGUUAUCCGGAUUCACUGGGUUUAAAGGGUGCGUAGGCGGGCAGGUAAGUCAGUGGUGAAAUCCCCGAGCUUAACUUGGGAACUGCCGUUGAUACUAUCUGUCUUGAAUACUAUGGAGGUAAGCGGAAUAUGUCAUGUAGCGGUGAAAUGCUUAGAUAUGACAUAGAACACCAAUUGCGAAGGCAGCUUGCUACACAGUUAUUGACGCUGAGGCACGAAAGCGUGGGGAUCAAACAGGAUUAGAUACCCUGGUAGUCCACGCCCUAAACGAUGAUUACUCGACAUCAGCGAUACACUGUUGGUGUCUGAGCGAAAGCAUUAAGUAAUCCACCUGGGAAGUACGACCGCAAGGUUGAAACUCAAAGGAAUUGGCGGGGGUCC
rnacentral:rRNA from 1 species